CGUCAAAACAACAGUCUUGAAAACUUGUGUCUAAAGAUGUGAUGUCACUAUGUUGACAGCAGAGCAGAGAUGAAGCAUCCUGGUGGAAGCCUUUGGUUUCUCUGCACCCUCUACUGCCUGAAACAGCGCUGUGGGUCCUCACACCUCUCUGAGUCGAUCCUUCCCUUUCCGGAGUCAGAAGAAUUAGUUUGGGAAGUCAUUUGUUCAAAGCUUCAGAUUCAGCUGAAUAAAAAUCUGAAUUCAUGCCCUACGCUUUAAUGAACCUGACUAAAGCAAACUACAAGGACACGAGCUUCUGGUCCGUAAUUUCAUUAGCAG
ensembl:lncRNA